UUGGCUUUAUUUCUGUCAGAUGGUUUUGGGGUCGGCUGUGGUGGGACCGGAGGACACCAGGUAACCAUGUCAGCUGCAGCUGUAGAUGCAGUUAAUGCUGCACCCUUGUCAGGGUCUAAGGAAGUGAGUUUGGAAGAACCAAAGAAAAUGACCAGAGAGGACUGGAGAAAGAAGAAGGAGCUAGAAGAACAGCAAAAAUUGGGAAAUGCUCCUGCAGAAGUUGAUGAAGAAGGAAAAGACAUCAACCCUCAUAUUCCUCAGUAUAUUUCUUCAGUACCAUGGUCUAUUGAUCCAUCAAAAAGACCUACUUUAAAGCACCAGAGACCACAACCAGAGAAACAAAAGCAAUACAGCUCAUCCGGAGAAUGGUCCAAGAGGGGAGUAAAAGAGAAUUCCAUAACUACAAAGUACCGCAAAGGAGCUUGCGCAGCCUCAACUGAUGUUUGACUAUGAUGGGAAGAGGGAUCGCUGGAAUGGCUACAAUCCUGAAGAACACGUGAAAAUUGUAGAAGAAUAUGCCGAAGUUGAUCUGGCAAAACGAACGUUGAAAACCCAGAAACUCCCAAGAAGAAUUAGCCUCAGGAGAAUUAGUAGAACAGGCUAAUUCUCCAAAACACCAAUGGGGAAAAGAGGAACCAAAUUCACAGACGGAAAAAGAUCAUAAUAGUGAAGAUGAGGAUGAAGAUAAAUAUGCAGAUGAUAUUGACAUACCUGGGCAGAAUUUUGACUCUAAGAGACGAAUUACUGUCCAGAAGCUCAGGAUUAGAGAAGAUAUUGCAAAAUAUUUAAGGAAUUUAGAUCCAAGUUCUGCCUACUAUGAUCCAAAAACUAGAGCAAUGAGAGAGAAUCCUUAUGCCAAUGCUGGAAAGAACCCAGAUGAAGUGAGUUAUGCGGGAGAUAACUUCGUUAGAUACACAGGAGACACCAUUUCAAUGGCUCAGACACAGUUGUUUGCUUGGGAAGCCUAUGACAAGGGUUCUGAAGUACAUCUACAGACAGAUCCUACAAAACUAGAGCUGUUGUAUAAGUCCUUCAAAGUCAAAAAGAAGACUUCAAAGAACAGCAAAAAGAAAGCAUCCUGGAAAAGGAUGGUGGCCAAGAACAUUAGGAUGCCCCUCCACCUGAGUUGCUUUUAGCCCAAACAAGACUACGUAGAGUACUCAAGACAUGGGACGGUGAUCAAAGGACAGGAACGGGCUGUUGCCCGUUCCAAGUACGAGGAGGAUGUGAAGAUCAACAAUCAUACACAUAUCUGGGGAUCCUACUGGAAAGAAGGCCAAUGGGAAUACAAGUGCUGUCACUCUUUUUUCAAAUAUUCCUAUUGUACUGGAGAAGUCGGGAAGGAGAUUAUUAAUUCAGAGGAAAGUAUUAUGAAUAAUACAACUGGGAAAGAAUCUAUAAAGAAGCCUCAAACCCUUAUGGAACUGCAUCAGGAAAAACUAAAAGAGGAGAAAAAGAAGAAAAAAAAGAAGCACUGAAAGAGCAGUUCAGAUAGUGAUGAUGAAGAAAAGAAACCUGAAAAAUUGAAAAAGGCACUGAAUGCAGAGGAAGCCCGACUUCUGCACGUCAAGGAGAUCAUGCAGACUGAUGAGAGGAAGCGGCCUUACGACAGCAUGUGUGAAACUUGGGAACCCACAGAAGAGGAAAUGGAGGCCUGAAGAAUGAAACGUCAGAGGCCAGAUGACCCCAUGGCCUCCUUCCUUGGACAGUAG